rnacentral:pre_miRNA from 1 species
GUAAUAUAAGAUACAGUCUCUUAGGUUUUAACUAAAAAAACUAAGAGACGUCUCUUAAUUUUUUUAGUUAAAAGCUAAGAGACUGUAUCUUAUAUUAC